rnacentral:lncRNA from 1 species
AUAGGAUGCUAAAACACCAAACCAACAAUGCCUUAGUCUUGUUCAAUCUUGAUAAAACCAUCUUGUUCAGUCUUAUUAAAACUACUAUGUAAAGCAGUCAAAAUCACUACUAACUUGUUUGGUUUUAUUUGAGAGAUAAAAAAACAACACAUCAAUUUAUUCCAUUGAAAACAAAUAGGAUACUCGAUUGCACGCAGCUAGCAGCUCUCUGGCGUAGAUCGAUCACUGUAGCC